rnacentral:snRNA from 1 species
ACUCAUACCUUGUAGGAAAAAUAAAAUGUUGUAAAAAUGGUUUUCCCAGGGAAAGGCUCAUCCAUUGCACUUUGGAUGUGCUGUUGAACCUUGUGAUUUCCCCAAAUGUGGGUAACUCAGCUACAUAAUUUGUGUUAAUGGGGGCAUUAUGUUUGUGAUUUCUCUG